rnacentral:rRNA from 1 species
UACGUAGGGUGCGAGCGUUGUCCGGAAUUAUUGGGCGUAAAGAGCUCGUAGGCGGUGUGUCGCGUCGGCCGUGAAAACCUGCAGCUUAACUGUGGGCUUGCGGUCGAUACGGGCAUCACUGGAGUUCGGCAGGGGAGACUGGAAUUCCCGGUGUAGUGGUGAAAUUCGUAGAUAUCGGGAGGAACACCAGUGGCGAAGGCGGCGAUCUGGGAAGAUACUGACGCUGAGGUGCGAAAGCGUGGGGAGCAAACAGG